CUCAUUAAAUCAGUUAUCGUUUAUUUGAUAGUACCUUACUACUUGGAUAACCGUGGUAAUUCUAGAGCUAAUACAUGCUAAAAACCUCGACUUCGGAAGGGGUGUAUUUAUUAGAUAAAAAACCAAUGCCCUUCGGGGCUCCUUGGUGAUUCAUAAUAACUUAACGAAUCGCAUGGCCUUGUGCCGGCGAUGGUUCAUUCAAAUUUCUGCCCUAUCAACUUUCGAUGGUAGGAUAGUGGCCUACCAUGGUUUCAACGGGUAACGGGGAAUUAGGGUUCUAUUCCGGAGAGGGAGCCUGAGAAACGGCUACCACAUCCAAGGAAGGCAGCAGGCGCGCAAAUUACCCAAUCCCGACACGGGGAGGUAGUGACAAUAAAUACUGAUACAGGGCUCUUUUGGGUCUUGUAAUUGGAAUGAGUACAAUUUAAAUCCCUUAACGAGGAACAAUUGGAGGGCAAGUCUGGUGCCAGCAGCCGCGGUAAUUCCAGCUCCAAUAGCGUAUAUUAAAGUUGUUGCAGUUAAAAAGCUCGUAGUUGAACCUUGGGCCUGGCUGGCCGGUCCGCCUCACCGCGUGCACUGGUCCGGCCGGGUCUUUCCUUCUGGGGAGCCGCAUGCCCUUCACUGGGUGUGUCGGGGAACCAGGACUUUUACUUUGAAAAAAUUAGAGUGUUCAAAGCAGGCCUAUGCUCGAAUACAUUAGCAUGGAAUAAUAGAAUAGGACGUGUGGUUCUAUUUUGUUGGUUUCUAGGACCGCCGUAAUGAUUAAUAGGGAUAGUCGGGGGCAUCAGUAUUCAAUUGUCAGAGGUGAAAUUCUUGGAUUUAUUGAAGACUAACUACUGCGAAAGCAUUUGCCAAGGAUGUUUUCAUUAAUCAGUGAACGAAAGUUAGGGGAUCGAAGACGAUCAGAUACCGUCGUAGUCUUAACCAUAAACUAUGCCGACUAGGGAUCGGGCGAUGUUAUCUUUU
rnacentral:rRNA from 1 species